CCACAUUUGACAUCUAUUGUGUUUACAUGUCUUGUAGAUGAUUUGAAUGAACCAGAAACCUUGUUUUGGAAUAUUUGAGCUCUUGCUUCAGAAUGUGGAACAUCCGACAAAAAAUAUUGAUUGUGAAAGCUUAAACACUCUUAAAAAGAUAUUGUUUUCCAACAUCUUGUAGCUUGUGCUUGAAUAUGAGAAACAACUCUGAAAAAUUGGAAAUAUUGAAUACUACGGCAAAUUUUAAACUUGAUUUUGUAUGGAUUGAAGCUGUUUACCUUCUUUGAUACCAAAUUUGGCCAGAUUUGGAGUGCUGAAUGAAAUCUUGACCUUAGAGAAAUCCUGUUAGGAGACUUUGAGGUCAUUGGAUAGGGAAUCUGAAGGUUUGCAGGCUGUCGAAAUAUUGUUGAAAGUUUCCCCCCAAAAUCGUAGAUUGUGUAAUGAUAUUUCCGAGGGAAUUGCUAAAUGGUUGUUUCAGACACUGCUUCUAGAAAUAUUGUAGCCUUGAUAGGUAGAAUUUUUAUGUUUAAUCGCACCAUUUUUAUUGCAGAUUGUUUUGAAUCUUUGUGAGCAACACUUGCUGAAGCCUGACACAACUGGAUCAUAUUCCUUUAGGAAACUCUUACCUAAUCUUAAGUCCAAGUUAGCAUUUUCCAGCUGCAUUGCAGCUUUAGUUUGUUUUAAAAGAAGUUAACUACAAUGGAGGGGCAAAUGCCACACAAAUUGACAAAGGUUCAUAUCUUUUGACAUGGUAUUAGGCUGUGCCAACUGCCAAGGAUUGAGAUAUUGUAGCAGCCAAUGUACGACUGCCUUAUAUUUGGUUAGAAUCUACAGACACAUGGGUGAUGCUCAUUUAUUGAUUUAUAUGAUUUUGCCCUAAAUAUCUUUAAUCCGUUUAUAUUUGUUUCGGAUUUGGAUGACACUUUGUAACCUCUAAGUUCACGACUUGUAGCAGCCUGCAGGAAAAAUAUUGAAGGUGCACUUUGUUCUGGAAAACUAGUCUUUGCUCAUAUUUCAGAAGGUACGCUCGGGACUGCAGGCAUGGAGAAAAAUUCAGGAAGCUGCAACCAAGGUGCAACCAUCAACUCGAAGGGAAGGAUUUUCUGCCAUCCCAAAUGUUAAAUGGGAUGAUGUGGGGGCUCUUAGUUCUCUGCGCAAGGAUUUUGAAAUGUAUGUUGUUAGGCGGAUCAAGCACCCAGAGGAAUAUGAGGCACUCGGAAUGGAUCUGGAUAAUGGAUUUUUGCUUUAUGGACCACCGGGUUGUGGUAAAACUUUGGUUGCAAAGGCUGUAGCCAAUGAAGCUGGGGCUAACUUUAUACACAUCAAGGGUCCAGAACUUCUAAACAAAUAUGUUGGAGAAAGUGAACUUGCAAUCCGGACAAUUUUUACUCGUGCACCUACUUGCUCCCCUUGCAUACUUUUCUUUGACGAGAUUGAUGCCUUGACUACCAAACGGGGGAAAGAUGGUGGCUGGGUUGUAGAGCGUCUGUUGAAUCAGCUUCUCAUAGAGAUGGAUGGAUCAGAAAAGCGCAAGGGUGUUUUUGUAAUUGGAGCAACAAAUCGUCCAGAAGUAAUGGAUCCAGCAGUUUUACGGCCAGGACGGUUUGGAAAGCUACUUUAUGUUCCGAUACCAGAUGAAGAGGGAAGAGUUUCAAUAUUAAAGACCCUUACUCGAAAGCGACCUCUUUCUGCAGAGGUUGACCUUAAUUACAUUGGUCAUAGUCAGUCUUGUGAGAACUUCAGUGGUGCUGAUCUUGCCGCUCUAGUUAAUGAAGCUUGCAUGUGUGCAUUGCAAGAGAAAAUUGCAGCAGCAGCGGAGGCUGAUUCAGAUAUUAGGAAGUAUGCUUUGGUCGUUAAUUUAUCACACUUUGAGCAAGCAUUCAAGAGAGUUGUGCCUUCAGUGUCUAAAGUGCAACGGCAUUAUUACGAACAAGUAUUUCAAAAAUUUAUGGGGCUGACUGGAAAACAAUAAUCACUAAAGCAAAUGUCCUACAGGCUUUGGAAAACAUGCCAAUUAAAUAUUUAGAAAGAUUUAUUUGUUUGAGUGGCUAAUAUAGUGGCUUCCUUUGACGAGACCAAUUAAAGCGUUUGUUGCCUGAUAGGGCACAUUACAGAUUUUGAGGAGAGGAUUAAGCAAUUUAGGCCACGUUGCAUCAGAGAAUAAAGAGGAAUAUAGCACGUUACACAACCAAACAACGAUUCAUGUCUCAUUUAUGUGGAAGGUAAAGAAGCUAGGUUUGUUCUUUUUUAAUGCUUUGUCACUAAUUAAGAGUUUUGAAGAAUCAUUCUUUGGAUUUGUGAGUGUGAGGUUACUAUGCAUAUUGAUGAAGAUCAAAAGGCAUUCACAAGCUCAUGUUUUAAUGAUGGCUCUUAUUUUGAAUAAAACUUUAAUCUCCAUGUUUAAUGUAUCCCCCUGAUUAGCUUUGUCUCUGUUAUAGAGAGGUAGUUUGUUGUAAGCGGAUAACGUUAUUCCUGCAAAUAUGAAACUUACUAUAGAAGAAGCCAAUGCAAGGGAAAGGGAAGAGUCUUUGAGAUCCAAUCAUUCUGAUUUCAGACCUUCAAGACAUUCGAACAAUCACAAACAUGACAACUAUAAUAGAGGUUUGAUACAUAUAUGGUAAUGAGGGUUUUAAGUCAAAAAGAGGGCAUCACAAAGCAUCAUUUGCAAAUGAUAGUAAGCAAAUAAAGGACAGUCAUAGAAGGCUGAAGAAUAUGCCACAUGAUGAUAGGCUAUUGAUGACAGUCUUGAGCAUUUAGAAACAUCUUUCACACACAGGUGCAGUCUAAGAAUCAUGUAUGAUAGCAGGGGAACUUUUUGGAUCUACACAUGAUAGUAUCUAUGAAAAGUUAGCGAAUUUUUAAUAAAGAUAAAGAUCAUUUCCACAGUCCAAAUACCUAAGGAUAUUGUCAUGGCUAGGUAUUAGUGCUAGAUAGGAGAUGAAUAUGAUAGUCUUAGAUAUCAGAAGGUAGCCUACAGUAGUCUGUGACAACCCAAAAGCCUUGGAACAUAAUAGAGAUCAAAGAGUCAAGGAAACAUUGAGAUCUUAGAAGCAUGAAUCCCAGAAUAGUCAGAUCAUGGAUUCAAAUAACAAAAUGCAUUCCCAUUCAGUGAUCACAGUCACUGUUUGAAAGGCGGUGACAUCAUCAUGUACAUGUUUGUAGUAAUUAUGAAAAGCCUGAUGAAGACAAUCAAAGACUAUCUCAGUAACUUGGCAACAAAAGGAUAUACCCACUGAGUAUGAGCACUCCUAGCAACACUGUCACAACAAUUCAAAAGCAUAAAGAAAACCUUUAGUAAUUGUGUCAAAUAUCACAGUCACAAGGAUCUCUAAACUCAAAAUGACAGAGAGAAUCAUCCUAGAAACAUGUUGAAGUUACAGUAGUUGAUAAUGGACAGGGUUCAUGACAAGAUCAAAUGCUUGGUGACCUUAAGACUUGCGUUAAUGGAUCCUUAGAAAAGUCUUUCUCAUUAAGCUAACAAUGAAAAUGUUCAAGCAGUGUGAUAAUGUGAUUGAGCAGGGGGCAUCUAGAAGAAUAUAAAGCCAUUGAUAGGAGAGUCAUCAUAUUUGAAGGGGCAUGAACACCUUCAAUAAUAGAGACAGUCUAUGACAUAAAGGAGUAGACGCAAAAUCUUUAACAUGGGAUAGUCUAAAGGAAAAUAUGCAUUGAUAUCAAGACAACAUGAGGGAUAAUCACAAUUAGAUAUAUUGUUGCAGGGUUUGGUCACAACCACAAGAGUAAAUGAAGUUAUUAUAUGCCUUGAGACACUUCACAACAAAAAACCAGUGCACAUACAACUAUAGAAGGAGGAUAGUGAUUUAUCCUUGAAGUCAGUGACAAUAGAAGGUAGGACAACAAUGGCUUAUGGCUAAGCAAGAUAGAAUACUUUGAAAACCUUGUCAUUAUAAGCCAUGUGAUAUCCAUUUGAAGACUAUGUAUAAGUAUACGUAGAAUGUGUAGCAUUUUUCUUGUGACCAAAUUGAUGAUAAACAGAGAUAUGUUCUCUAAUCAAGUCUAAAGAUGCUCUAUCUACAUCUACAGCUCAUAAGGAAUCAAGAAUAAGAGGGCAAUCCUUUUUAGUGUCACAAUCAUGAAUUUGUAGCAUUCAAAUGACAAUGUAUUGAUAAAAAAAUGAUAGUUCAUCUAUGAUACAAAGCAUCAGGACAUCUACAGGAAAUAAAGAGCUUCAUAGCAAUCCAGUAGAAGGAAGCAAUGAAGUAGAAGUAAGCGAUGAGAGUGCAAUCAUCCUACAAAUCGGUGAUAGUCCUCACAUGAAUACACAAAAGGAAAAGAUUCAUCAUUGACAGUUAUGAGAAGCAUGAAAUGCAUUGUGACAGUCGUAAUAAGUAUGGACAAAGGCUCAUUGGAGUUUGUAUAUUCCAAAAAAAAAAAAACAGUGACACACAUGAGUGAAUGGCAGCCUUUGAACAAAGCAAAGACAGUAAUGAAAAGCUUUGACAGCGGUAUAUGAUACAUAAAAUAAAGAGCUAUUUAUACAAGAUGCUAAGAACAAUUUAAAGGCUUGUAAUGGUGUUUUGACAUGAGCAAUUGUGCUCAAUCAGUAAGAAGAUGCCCAGGGAGCUGUUUUCUAGUGCCUAGGUGUCUUUUGGACAUGUGGGAGUGUGCCCAGUGAUUAUAUGCACAUGUAAAAGGCAGUUUGAAGCCUUUAUGACUCAAUAAUAAGUAGUUUGAAGGGUCUUUAUGACCCCUUAUCAGUUGAAUCCGACCGAAGAGAAGAUUGUUGAAUCAUUUGAGUCAGUUGAGCAAUUCGGGAAGCAGUUGAAUAGAUUGAAGACAUCAUAGAGGGAAUAUAGGGCAUAUUGUUGAUUCAUCCAAGUGGUUGAGAGGAUUAAGGAAAUAGUUUCUGACCCAGCUGGAGCCUGUUGAGAGAAUCAUGGAGCCAAAUGAGGAGACUUAUGUAUGAAGGGGUCAUAGUAGGAGAUUUUUGUGUAUUUUCUAACCAGUUUCAAGCAUUUUUGAAGGCUAAAAAAUGGGGACAACUCAGUUGGACGCCCAAGAAGGUUGAAUCAACUCCUAAGCAUUCAAUUCAUACUUUUAGUGAUCCCUAGUUUCUCUCCCAUGUAAAAAAAGAAAGAUUGUAAGCUAUAAAGUACAUUUUGGCUCAAUUGUAAAAAGUUCUUUCUCUUCUUCUUGUAAACAUUGUAGCUUUUUCAAGAUCUUUCCAACAAAAAAUAGCAUUGUAAUUAGCAUUGUGACUCCACUUUCAGACUUGUACAUAGCUGUAAAAACAUAUUUUCU